ensembl:lncRNA
UGUGGCUGUGGCUUAUAUAAUGAGGUUACAGAUUAAAUCAGCCAUAAAGAAGGAUAAGCUUGAGACAUUUCUAACCAAAUGGAUGCACCUUGAAGCCAUACUCUUUUUUUUUUUUUUUUUUUGGUGCCGGGGAUCGAACUUGGGUCCUUGCACUUGUGCAGCAGGUGGUGAAAAAGUGAAUAAUUUCAGGCUUUUUUUUUUUUUUUGGUACCAGGGAUCGAACUCAGGACCUUGCGCUUGCACAGCAGGCAGCGAAACCACUGAGCUAAAUCCCCGGCUGAAGCCAUACUCUUAAGUGAGGUAAAUGGGACACAGGUGUAUAUAUACCGCAUUGUUUCUCCGGUGUGAGAAACCAAAAGUGUAAAUAAGGACCAAAAUGUACAAUAGAUAUUGGGGAAGUGGGAAGAAAAUGUCCAAAUGAGACAGGGAACAAGGGAGAGGGGGGAGAAAAAGGAAAGAAGGGACAAGAAAAACAAAAAAGAAUAGAAGAAAAAAUGGAAACAAAGCUUUUGUAAAUAAAGAGGGGCUGAAGGGAGCAGAGGGGAAUGGGAAGAAAAGAACCAAGAUACAUCAUGUACAGGUACAAAUUCCCUGUGUUGGGUGUUACUAUUAUGUAUAUCUAAAAUGUACUAAUAAAAUAGAGAAAAAUAUUUUAAAGAUUAAAUAAGCAAAAGGGUGGGAAUUAUUUCAGAUAUGCAAAGUUGGUUUAACUCAAAGAAUCUAUUAAUGUAACCUGUCCCAUCAACAGGCUAAUGAAGAAAAAUUGCGUGAUCAUAUCAACGGAUACAGAAAGAAGCAUUUGACAAAAUUUAACAUCUGUUUAUAAAAACUCUCAAGAAACUAGGAAUACAGGAGUUUCCUCUGUGUUGAUAAAGAACAUUCACAAAAAAACCUACGGCUAGUGAUAAAAAGGGAGUUACAUUCCUGCUAAGAUCAAAUACAAGGGCACAAAUGCCUGUUCUUACUACUCCUGUUCAACAUCUUACGAAAAUCCUAGCUCAUGUAAAAAAGCAAGAAAAAUGAGUAAGAUUUGAGUGAAUUAAGAAAGAAAAAAUGCUUUAUUUGCUGCUGACAUGAUUGUGCAUGUCCUGUGUACAAGAUUCCAAAGGAUCAACGACAAUGACAAACCCUCCUGGAACUAAUGUUUGACUGUCUUUGAUCGCUUCUGCUGCUUUAACAAAAUACCAUACUUCAGACUGGGUUAUCUAUGAACAGCAAAAAUGUUAUUGCUCAGAGUUCUGGGGCCUGGGAAGUCCAAGAUUGAGGCCUUGAUUUCAGUUUGGAUCUGAUCCACACAACAUGAAUGAAUCUUUAGAGCACUGUGCUCAGCAGAAAAACCUAAUCCCAAAAGAUGAAAAGUGCCUGAUUUCAUUUACAUGACAAAAUCAUAGAUAUGGAGAAGGUAUUAGCAGUUGCAAAGUCAAGGACAGGAUGAGAGAGGAGGAAUGAGUGAACGUGGCUAUAAAAAUACAACAUGAGGGGUCCCUGUGAUGAUGGGAAUGUAUAUGGUACAGAACAUGCAUAUUGUACAACAUAUGGUACCAUGGUGUUGUACUGACAAAGGAGAAAACUUGUAACUAUUUCGUAUCUUGUUCCAUAUUAGUAAUACUGUUACUGUAGUUUUGUAUGUGUAGUUUUAAAAGAUCGUCACCAUUAGGUAACAUGGGAAAAGUGGGUACAUAGAUCUCUUAUUACAACCGUGUAAAUGUAGAAUUAUUUCCAAAUAAAAGAAUGUACAAAAGGCUUCCACUUGGAAACCGAGCGCAAUGCUGCAGGAAGGCCAGUCAGCGACGCGGAAGGGCCAAGUCUGAAGCCCCGCUGAGCUACCUUCGAGGGACCAGCGGGGUGGACCCAACCAAGGUCUCAGGGGGCUCAGGC